rnacentral:rRNA from 1 species
UGGGGGAUAUUGCGCAAUGGGGGCAACCCUGACGCAGCAACGCCGCGUGAAGGAUGAAGGUUUUCGGAUUGUAAACUUCUUUUAUUAAGGACGAAAAAUGACGGUACUUAAUGAAUAAGCUCCGGCUAACUACGUGCCAGCAGCCGCGGUAAUACGUAGGGAGCAAGCGUUGUCCGGAUUUACUGGGUGUAAAGGGUGCGUAGGCGGCUUUGCAAGUCAGAUGUGAAAUCUAUGGGCUCAACCCAUAAACUGCAUUUGAAACUGUAGAGCUUGAGUGAAGUAGAGGCAGGCGGAAUUCCCCGUGUAGCGGUGAAAUGCGUAGAGAUGGGGAGGAACACCAGUGGCGAAGGCGGCCUGCUGGGCUUUAACUGACGCUGAGGCACGAAAGCGUGGGUAGCAAACAGGAUUAGAUACCCUGGUAGUCCACGCUGUAAACGAUGAUUACUAGGUGUGGGGGGUCUGACCCCUUCCGUGCCGGAGUUAACACAAUAAGUAAUCCACCUGGGGAGUACGGCCGCAAGGUUGAAACUCAAAGGAAUUGACGGGGGCCCGCACAAGCAGUGGAGUAUGUGGUUUAAUUCGAAGCAACGCGAAGAACCUUACCAGGUCUUGACAUCCAACUAACGAAGUAGAGAUACAUUAGGUGCCCUUCGGGGAAAGUUGAGACAGGUGGUGCAUGGUUGUCGUCAGCUCGUGUCGUGAGAUGUUGGGUUAAGUCCCGCAACGAGCGCAACCCUUGCUAUUAGUUGCUACGCAAGAGCACUCUAAUAGGACUGCCGUUGACAAAACGGAGGAAGGUGGGGACGACGUCAAAUCAUCAUGCCCCUUAUGACCUGGGCUACACACGUAUUACAAUGGAUGUUAACAGAGGGAAGCAAGACAGCGAUGUGGAGCAAACCCCUAAAAACAUUCUCAGUUCAGAUUGCAGGCUGCAACCCGCCUGCAUGAAGAUGGAAUUGCUAGUAAUCGCGGAUCAGCAUGCCGCGGUGAAUACGUUCCC